rfam:Anaerococcus tetradius ATCC 35098 contig00016, whole genome shotgun sequence.
UCCAUCGUGAGGUGGAAUCUGAAGGAAGCCCUAGGCAAACUCUUGGUCUGACGAACAGAAAUCACAUAAGGCAGUUACGUAGGAUAAGCUUGCCAAACAAAGUAAAGUCCAAUAACUACACGGAAUACGUAAAUGUAUAUGUGGCAGAUAGAUGAGAGGAAAGAACAUGCC